rnacentral:lncRNA from 1 species
AGAUGAUCUCUUAUGGUUUCAUUUGUAUCAGACAUGAAUUUUAGAGUAAUUUUGGACUGCAGGUCUUCACAGCUUUAUCUCCUUUGAGGAAGAGGUUUUCCAAACUUGUGGUCUCAAAGCAGCAUUCAGUUCUCACUCCUUAAUCAGAAAGAGGGUUUGUUUACAAAGUUCACAGUCAUAAAGUCUUACUGGUGGAUUGGCACUGAGAUGGUUUGGGCAGUCUCCUAAGAAACUAAAUUACUUGUGCAGCAUUUUGAGAAGAGGGCAGGUGUUUGAGUUGUAGAGUUCAGCUGAGGUUUUCUAAGUCAAAGCUAGAAAGGAAUAGGAAGGUAGAGGAAGGCUGUUCUUCCCUGAUAAUUUCAAGGCAGGUGUACCAUAGAGAUGUCACUGGAGAUGGAUAUCCCUUCUACUCUUCUCAGGAAUAUUCUAAUUCAUCUGCAGAGCACACAGAUCCAGGUUCCAAAGAAUAAAUUAGUGCUAAAAAUGGGUGUGAAAUUGAAGUUAUUCCAGCAGAUAUGGCCUUCUAGGAGAUGAAAUCUCUUGCUAACUUAAAAACAAGGUGACUUUGUUUCCCUGCUGUAGAUCCUCCCCCUCCCCAUACCCCCUGGUUAUUUGUCAGAUCUUUGGGCAGUGUGUGGGCCAGUGUUAGGUGUCUUUAUUUCCUCCUCUCAUCAGUGAAUGAUUUCAGGUGGAUUGAUUUUUUUGUUUUGUUGUGUUUUGGAUGGCCAUGCCUGUGGCAUGAGGAAGUUCCCAGGCUAGGGGUCAAAUCAGAGCUAUAGCUGCCAGCCUACACCAUAGCUCACAGAAGCACCAGAUCCCUGACCCACUGAAUGAAGCCAGGGAUUGAACCCGCAUUCUCAUGGAUACUAUUUGGAUUCGUUACCACUGCGCCACAAUGGGAACUCGUGAGAAUUUUUCUUAACUUCCUGAUGAUUGGCUUUUGGGUAUUAGGGCAAAGUCUCACAAAGGUGGGAAAGCUUGUACCAGUACCAUGCUAGCUCUAUCUUCUUUUAAACAAUUUAUCAAGCUACCUUUAACUCUGGCCCCUCAGUGCUCUCUUUCCCAUGAGCUUCUUGGAUUGUUGAUAUUAGGUCCACCCAGGGUGAAUUUAAGCUAAAACUGGCAGUAGAUUCCAGGAAGCCUUCUACCUAAUAUCUACUAAUCUCUGUGGGGGUCUUGAUGGCAGAGGGAUGGGAGAAGGUGAUGAGGCAGAAAGAAAUAGUGGCUGAGCCAUUAUCCUGGUGGAUUGGGGAGAUGGCUGAAUUAUCUAGGAGAGGUUAUUAAGAGUCAGAGAAUUCUUAGUCAAUCAAAAUAUAAAAAUCUAAGACUGUAUGUGCUGUAGGCAUGUCUGGGGAGAAGCAUGGAGCCCUGUUUAAGGCUGUAGUGUGAAGCAGGGUAGCUGUUAAGGGCCCCCAUAAACAUUAGUUAGGGAAUAUCAGUCACACCCGAGGAAGGCUCUGCUCCUGUUAUUGAGGAUUGUUGAAGAAAUGAAUCAUAUUCUUGGUGAAAGAAUAGCUGUGUUUAUUCGUUGUGUUUUACACUGUAUUGAAGCCACAGCCCUGGAGAUUUAUGCUACCAGUAACUUUGUUUUAUAGAUAAGGACUCCAAGACUCCAUAAUUGCUUAAUAUCUCCAGCCAGAGUUGAAACUCAGGUCUGUCUGAUUCUGAAACCUGUGUGCUUAACCAUAUGUAUCUUGUUAUAAAAAUAACUGAGUUCCCAAUGUGGCUCAGUGGAAAUGAACCUAACUAGCAUCCAUAAGGCCUUGCUCAGUGGGUUAAGGAUCUGGCAUUGUUGUGAGCUGUGACAUAGGUCACAGGCUAGAUUUGGAUCCUGUGUGGCUGUGGCAUAGGCCAGCAGCCACAGCUCUCACUCGAUCCCUUGCCUUGGAACCUUCGUAUGCCAUGGGUGCAGCCCUAAAAAUACAAAUACAAAUACUACUACUACUAAUAGUAACUGUAUGUGACUAAUUUACAAAGCUGAAAAUUAUAGUUCAGUUUAUGAUGCCGAGAGCAAGCAAAACACUGUAAAAGGCUUUGGCAGGUUAAUUGGGUAGUACUUACUUGGGGAAGAUGACUUUAGGAACAGUUGUAGCAUGAGAGAAUGAUACAUAGCUUUUUCCUUUGCAUAGAUUUAGAGGAUCUUGAGAUGCCUUUGAAUUUGGGUAGUCUGCCCAUAGAGUCUCUGCUCAGCUGCAGCCCUGUGGAUUGGCAGAGCAGGGUUUUUUGAUGAGAAGGCUGGACCUUAGUAUUCAAGGCCAGGAGAUGAUAGUGCCAGUUCUGAAACAUGGCACCCUUCUCUUUUCUCUUGACCAGCUCACAGAAUGGCUUUUAGAAUAGCAUUAUUGUUUUCCAUAUAUCUAAUAUGGACCUGGUCAGGAGAAAGGAACCCUGUCAUUAGGUAACAAAGUCUCAUUAGCUUGAUCCAAAUAAAGGGAAGUGAUUGGGAUUCUGGAGCUACAUCUUCUCCCCAAAGGUCAGGGGUCUUCACACUGUUUUGAGUAUAGGUAGUAAACUCAUUAACUUCAAUUCAUGUUUGCAUUAGUGAUUUCACUUGAUCUUCAAUACAACCCUGUAAGCGAGGCAGGAUAGUAUCAUUUGUCAGAUGGCGAGACUGAGGUUAAGCAACUUGGGCUUUGUCCCUCUCUUGAUCUUUGACCUUAAGCAAGUAAUUUAAACCCAAGCUUUGCUUUCUCCUCUGUAAAAUGAAAAUAACUAUACUUUCUUUGCCUGAGAGUCUUGAGAGAAUGAAAUGCUGUAUGUAAAACACUUAGCACAGUGCUUGGCAAGUAGUAGAUGCUCAGCAGUACGUGGAAUGGAUUGAAGCUAUCUGUCAUCACCAUCACCACUGGCUCACUUUAUUUAAACUGGGGCCAGAGACCCCUGUUGGCUUCUGGGUCUUAGGCUGCUAAAUGAGUGAGGAGCCCUCAGCCCCAUUGCCAGGAGAAGGAAAGACUGAGGAAGCCUGAGUAUAUCAUAUUAUAUAUUAUCCUUCACAUCUCAUCUUUAACCAACUCUGGAUAGGUUGGAUAUUUAUUUGGAGUACCAGACCCACAGUGGAGCCUCGGUGUCAGCUUCCUGGACUGCCUUUGUAAAGCUUUUAAGAUAAGAUCUGCACUGGUCUCGUGGGAGAGGGAUAUUCGGAUUGAUUCUGAAUCUCUUACUCCCCUAAGAACUGUGCCCUUUUCUCUGUAACUUAAGGACUUCACAGCUGUGUUGGUGUUAGGGAGUUUGGUGCUUCUCUUGACAGCUUGUGAAGGGUGGGCAGGCACCUGUGAAUUCUUCACUUGCCUCGUGAGAAUGACUUCACCCCAGGAUGUUGAGGUCCCAGUUAUCUCAUCUGCUACUAUAAAAUUCCUCUGUCUUAGAUACUAGUUUCUUUUAAGAUCAGUCUUUCCUUAACCCCUAGGGAUCUUGAACCCUGCUAAAUGUCGAGUGACUGAAUGGAGUCCUCUAUUUGCUUUUAGCUUGCAUUAUAGUGUUUGGUCUUAUCUCUCUGUUUCUUCCAUGGCAGUAAUAGCACUACUGGAAAAAGCUCUGGAUUGGGAGUUGGAGAUGCAGGUUCUAGUUGGGGCACCAGAAUUUUCUUGGACAAGUUGCUAUACGUUUUUGAGCCUCAGUUUCCCCAUAUGAAGAUAAAAUGGUUCUCUGUUCCUUUUUGGUUUGUGUCUUUUUAGGAGUAGACCUCUUUCCCCCCCCCCCAAAUAAAAUCUUGCCUAGAGCCCUAUUAUAGAGACAGAACACAGUUUGUUUUGUUCUGGAACAGAGUUGCUGUGAUUGAAGCAAGUCCAGCAGUUUUGCUGCCCCCCACUGAUUCCUUGUCCCAAACAUAGAUGUGCAUUUUGUACUUGUCUGGGGGCCUCUAGGACUCUGUCAAGAGACUUUGGACAUUGCUGGUGCAGGAUCAUCUCUACAACGCUAAGAAUUUUUUUGCUGUUGACAGGUAGGUAGUAAAAAUCUGUAAAACCUGUAUGUUAAAUGUGUAAGUAGACCAUGGAGUCUUCAAGAAGAAUUAGAUUUUCACUGAUGUAUUUGAAAGAUUCUAAAGUUUGGCUCAGUCUGUAGUGUUUUGUAUAUUGUAGUGUCCAGUAAAGACUGACUUAAUUUUUGCUUGCAGGAUAAAUAUAGUUUUUUAAUAGUGGCAGACACUUUAUUUCCCUAUCUUAUGGACCAGUUCCUUCUGGGAAUACCCGUAGGAUCCAACCAUUAAUAUAAUUCAGUAGUGGAACUAGAUUCCUUUACAGAUUUUUCUCUUGUAGGUAUUUAGGUAUUCUCCAUUACAAUGUAUAUAAUAUAAAUAGAACAUUUGCUAUUGUUAACUUAUGUUUCAGGAGUCAUUCUAGUGCCAGUUCCAUAUAGAACUUUCUAAUUUUAAAGAGGAAGAGUGGAAUAGAAAGAAAAGCAUAUGUACUUUAGAAUAGAGGGAUCUAAGUUUGAAAAAGACUCUGUCAGUAACUAGCUAUGUUUGGGCAAACUAUUACUCUAGUUUUUCAAUCAUGAUUUACACAUUUGUAAAUUGAGCCAAUAAUACUUGCUAACCUUUUGCAGAACUGUUGUAAGGAUUAGGGAUAAUGGGUCUUCCUCCCCCCAGCGAAUGUUAAGUCAGACAAAAGGACAAAGAUUAGUCUGUUAGGGAAUUCUCAUAGAAGAGCAUCCAAUUUUGUUAUAUAUAUUGUUUUAUAUGAAUAUAUAUUAUAUAUUGUUAGUGGGGUCAAAUGGUAGAUCACCCAGUGUGAUUUAUUCUUGCUUAGGCAUUUAUUCACUUCAGGGAACACUUGUUUAUAUAUUACCCAUUUUGCAAGACGUAUUAUAGAGGAAUAAUUAAGAACAUGGACUCUAGAGCCAGCCUGCCUGGGUUUGAAUCUUGGCUCCACCAUUUACCUGCUGUAUGAUCUCGGGCAAGUUAUUUAACUUAUUUUUCUUGUGAGGAUAAUACCUACCUCCUCAGGAUUUUUUUUUUUUUUUUUUUUUUUUUUUUUAAACUAGGGGACAAAUCCCUGUUGAGUCUUAUAGGAAGAGAAAAGUUAAGCGCACAGGCUGGAGAAAGGGUCUGGUAGCGUAGCACCAGUGAUACAGCUGAAAAUUUAGCAAGUGGCUGGUCUGACCCCAAUAGCGUAUUUCUACUACAUUCUGGUUAUGGACGUCUUUUCUGCCUCAUUCAAGUAUGCUGUUCGUUAAGUUUUUUUUUUUUUUUUAAACAAAUACUAGCAAUCAUAGAUUUUUUUUUUUUUUUAAUUUUCCCACUGUACAGCAAGAGGGUCAGGUUAUCCUUACAUGUAUGCAUUACAAUUACAUUUUUUCCCCCACCCUUUCUUCUGUUGCAACAUGAGUGUCUAGACAUAGUUCUCAAUGCUAGCAAUCAUAGAUUUGAGGAGAGGGGCUUGUACACCUGGAAGACAUCUGGGGUUAUCUUUAGCCCCUCUUUUACAUAUGGAGAAGGGUGAGAGUAUAAGCCUCAUUAAACAAACCACAGCAUGUUUAGUGGCAGAACCAACUGGGUUCUUAUACACACUCCUGGACUUUGUCCCUCUUACACAACAGGGAAUACUCACUUUUUUAUUUUUAUUUUUUAAUUUUCACAAGAUUUUUAUUGUUUUUUGCUGUGCCCAUGGCAUGUGGAAGUUCCUGGGCCAGGAAUUGAACCCGUACCAUGGCAGCAGCCCUGGCUUCUAAGUGACAGCUCUGGAUCCUUAACCCACUGUACCAUAAAGGAACUCUGAUACUCACUUUUAAAAAAGACUGGAUAAGCAGUUCUUGCUGGUGAAGAGUAGCAAAACUUAGCUUUUAAUAAAUUAUAGGAAAAGAAGAAAUAUGCCUACCCUAGGGAGUUAGUUUUUCCUCAGAGGUUGUGGACCAUCAGGUUCUCUGAGUGCUUGGAAGGCUGAAAGGGGAAUAACCAGUGAGGUGGGGCUGUCAGAUAGGAUUUCUCAGAUAAUAGAGUUUUUGAGCCAGGCAGGGCUCACAGGAGAGGGUGUUCCUGAUAGCUAAUGGAAUGCUGUCCUCAAGUGAUGCAACAUGCUGCUUCCAUAACAGUAAUGGGGGCUCAUUCAUAACCAUCUCACAGGAAAUGAAGGCUUAGAGUAGCCGAGAAAGUUGCCCAAGAUGAAGCUUCAAAGUAAUGAAACCAUAGUUCAGCUCCAGAUCUAUCUGAUUUCAAAGCUAAUGUGUUUCCUACAAAAUAUGCUGCCCCCUCCAAGUGUGAAUGAACAUUCUCAGAAGGAUUGAGCUCAAACUGGAGCCACGCUUUCAGAGGACCUCUGUAAAAAGAGAAAGGGCCAGGAGUUGCUGUCAUGGCUCAGCCGAAACGAAUCUGACUAGCCUC